GACCGGGAGAGACUACGAAAGUGGCGCCGAAGGUGAUUGCAGAAACUCUCAGGCAAAAGGACCGGUUAU
rnacentral:ncRNA from 1 species